UACGAAGGGGGCUAGCGUUGCUCGGAAUGACUGGGCGUAAAGGGCGCGUAGGCGGUUUGUACAGCCAGGUGUGAAAUUCCCGGGCUCAACCUGGGGGCUGCACUUGAUACGUAUGGACUGGAGUGGGGAAGAGGGUCGUGGAAUUCCCAGUGUAGAGGUGAAAUUCGUAGAUAUUGGGAAGAACACCGGUGGCGAAGGCGGCGACCUGGUCCUUGACUGACGCUGAGGCGCGAAAGCGUGGGGAGCAAACAGG
rnacentral:rRNA from 1 species